CAAAAAAUACAAAUAAAACUAUAUUUUCAGAAAAUAAAUAUUUUCUCAAAAUAUUUUGAGAAGUUUGUCAUUUAAAAAAUUAGUAUUUUUUUAAAUAGAUGAUUAAGUGAAGUUGAUUCAGAUGAAAUUUGAAUAUACAGUAUCUGUUCCAUAGUGGAGCUGAGUACCUAAUGGACAGUGGUGGGAAUGACAAAUACUGUGUUACUGUACCCAAGUAGAUUUUUCAUGUAUCAGUACUUAUUUAUUUUUCUGACAACUUUUUACUUUUACGUAAAGCGAAACUAUGAGAACAGAUCGUUUUGUUAGCAAUAACGCCUGUGCCAACGCUAGCUAGCUCGUGGUUUGAACAAAUCAAAACUAGGGAAUUCCCUUGUUUCAAGUUAUUAAAAUGCGCUUUGUACAUAACUGAACGUUUUAAAAUAAUUUUUACUUGCAGAAUCUAUACAUUUCUACAGUAACUUAAGUACCAAAAUAAGUAGUUGAAGUAGUAGUAAUAUACAAAGUACAAAGGAACAGACUGAUAACAAACUACUGGUGAUGAAGAAAAUCAAAUAACAGCAUGGAUUAGUGUUGGUAUUAUUAUGAGUUCAGUCGAAUCAGUAGUUACCGGUCUUUUUUCUUCCUGUACCCAGGUAUGUGUACUUCUGAAGUGCAGCGUAUGAGUACUUUUUCCACCUCUGCUUAUGGAGUAUUUACUCGUAAAACCUUUUCUUCACCACACAAAUUCUUUGUGUGUGUGUGUGUGUGUGUGUGUGUUGGCCAGGGCAUUGAGAUUCAGGUCUUGCUCGUGGCCUCAGUCAAGUCCCGGUUGCCAUGCCGACGGGCCAGCGGUCUCCCAGGAUGAGUAACGAUGUGAUGUGGCCGCGCACUAACGUCCCAACAAAGACCUCAUUACUACCGCAGCACCUCAUAACGCGCCAUUGUUGUCGAGUGCUGCCCGAUAUUAACCUGCCUGCACUUUGGCUUCCUUCCCAGCGUGGAGGGCAGUUGUGUGUGUGUGUCUGUGUGUGUGUGUGUGUGUGUGUGCGUGCGUGCGUGUGUGUGACUCAUCCUUGUGGAAGUUGAUCCAAGAAUAACACAUCCCAAAACUUUGCACAAUGCAGUUUUUACUGAAUUGAAAUAAAUAAAUACAUAAAUAAAUAAUAAUAUAAAUAGUUUAUUUAUUUAUUUUUUUGUUGCAUUCUUAUUGUUUCAAAGUUGGAUUUCAGGUCAGUCUUAAGGUUUCAAGCCUGGUUUAGGGUUUCAAAGAGGGUUUUAAUCCAGGGUUAUUGUUCCAGUAGGGUUUGAAUUUAGGGCUUCAAAUGACGGUUACAGUUUCAAAGUAGGGUUUCAAAGGAGGGUUUCUAGCCAGGGUUAUUGUUUCAAAGUAGUGUUUCAAGAAAGAGUUAGAAGGUUUCAAACCAGGGUUAGGGUGUCAAAAUUGGGUUUCAAGCCAGGGUUUGGGUUUCAAACAAUGGUUAAUGUUUCAAAUGUAUUACUAACCAUAAACAGACAAGGCAGAGCAAGGUUGUAUGACUUGUGUUGCAAACUUCUUAUGUACAUUCCGUCAAUAUCUUUUUUUGUUGUUGUGCAAAUUGAUACUACUUGUUUGUUAUUUUUACAAAUUAUUAACCAAUCAAAACUGUUAAAAAUAGCGAUAGAGCAAAUCUCUCAACUAUAUUGAUUCAGAAAAGUCUCGUGACGACCUCUUCUUCAUUCCGCAGGAGCCUCGCAGCAUUGUGUCUCCUCAAGAUUGAAAGUCACAACAGGGAAGAAAUCCUCGAUGGACAAGAGCAAGUGAAAAUAGCUAGGUAAUGGUUUUGGAGAUGCGAGGAUUCCGUCAGACAGCGACAAUAUGUGACUUACUUCCAUCUUUGUUACGUGAGAUCAAACAUCUUCAUGCUACAGUGGACAUUCACCAGCCAAGUGUGAAGUGCUAGACACCACGGACUGCAGAUGAGGCGAGAGAUAAGACGCCAGCGUGAUCCAGACCUUCACCCCAGCCAUUGUCCCGCUUAUCUCUAAUGAAGCGCUAUUGCCCGCUAAUGAUGGGGAGGAGGAGAGGCAGGCAGGGGUCUCGUCACUGAUGGAGAGCAAAAGUGUAAUGUUUGGCUUUCGGCACAUAGAGAACGUGAUAAGCUCAUCAAUGUAAUUGCUGUUGCCGAGAAAUACAUUUAUGGAGGAUGAUAGCGCUGGUUCAUAUGAGACUACCGUUCAAAGGUCUGGGGUCACCCAGGCAAUUUCAUGUUUUCCAUGAAAGCACACUAUUGUGAUGAUAAAAGCCGCAAGUAACGUGUAUCCACCUGUUGCCAUUAUUAAAACAGACCAAAAGUCAUUUUAACAAUCUCUCACAUAAUUGAUGCCGUUGGUGUUUUUAUAGUAUAAUAAUUAAGACUGAUACGGCUUCUUUGGUCCGCAUCCUUCAUUUCCUAAAAAGAAGACAAACUAUUGAUGUUGCACUUUCCAAAAAAGAAGAGGUGCCAAAAUAUUCUUAUUUGUACAUGCAGUUGUCAUGUGCAUCCUCAGUUUCUUAAUAAGCUGCGUUGGAAGGCACUUGGAACAUGUAAACGUGUAGUUAUGUUUCAAAACAUGAUAUACAUGUUUUCAAAGGCUAUUCUUGAACAAUGUGCAUUGUUUUUUUUGUUCUUCACUUCUGUAAAAGUGGGUCACAACUAAGCGGCAAUAGGAAAACGCAGGUCCCAUGGUGACAAUAGUUGAGAACUAAUGCUUUAAAUGUCAAUAUUCGUCUGUGACAUUUGAUAGUUUAGUUUGAUAGAUUUUAGUUUAUACAAUAAAACAAACAUUUUAUUUUUACUCAAACAUAUGCCAGCAAAUAAGAAAAUCAGAGAAAUUGAUCAUUUUGGAGUGGUCUUGUAAUGUUUUUCUUGAUCUGAAUAUACACUAUUUUUCUGCCAUUUUUGUUUGAACAUUUGUAAAAAGUACUGAAACACUGAACAGGUGGAGAUGUGCAUUCAAAAGUGCACAGAAGGUCCAAUUAAGUCUACAUGUAUAAAGAUUAUAGUGCAUUUUAGGUUCAUUCUGAAAUUUCACUCAAAAGCUCCUUAUCCUGAAGUUUUUGUGAGUAGUUAAUAUCCCCUUUAAUUGCGUCUGAAUCCGUUGAAGCUGUUUGCGUUUAAACAUUUUCCCAUGUUUUGGGUGAUGUUAUUGUGGUCCAGUGAAACCAAGGUUGGACGUUUUGGCCAUAAUUUUAAAAGGUAUGUUUGCCGCAAACACAGCAUUGCUCAUCACCAAAAGAACACCAUACCUAGAGUGAACGAUGGUGGUGACAGCAUGAUAUUUUGGGGCUGUUUUUCUUCAGCUCAAACUGAGGCCUUAGUCAAGGUGGAGAGAAUUAUGAACAGUUCAAAAUAGCAGUCAGUGUUA